GACCCUGAAAGCCCUACCUGGGUGUUCCUUCCUCCCAGGCUUUUCUCCUCUGGACACUACUGGGUGACCCCACAAAUCUUCACAACCUCCUGAGCGCCCGUCUUAUGAUCAUGGUCACCCUCGGUGUGGCAGUUAGUUGAAGAUGAUUCAGAAAGUUCUACUACAGUUUAAAAGCAAUGGAACAAAGAACAGCUCCUGGAAAUCACUUCACUAUUCACAAUACCCAGCUGAACUACCAUCCCCACAUAGAGCAACUUCACGGACUCUUCAGCAUGCGAUUCAAACAAGGAUCAUCCCGUUGUCUGCUCAUCUGUCUGGGAAUUUGAUGUGCAAGAAUCCGCAGAUGAAGGCUACAAAGAUGUACAGGGUUUAAGGAAUUACUCGAAGCAAACACUGAUGAAGCUACCUCAUUUAGGUCAAGUAAUAAUAAUCCAGCCUCUGUCUCCAGGAAAAAGCCCAACACCUUCACUGUUGUUAUGGA